rnacentral:lncRNA from 1 species
UGCAAAUGCAACCUUCAAAGACCAUCCCACCACAGCUUUUCAAAGUGUGUAAGUAUCAACAACUCCAUCGAGAGCAUGGGGUAUACAUUCAUCGUCCUCUAUUGUGUCUCCAUAGGACUAGCUUACUGCUCUGUACAGAGUAUGAAUGGUUUAAAUAAACUUCGGGCAAAGACUGAAUCCGUACACCUAAAUAUGCAUGUCCAGUAUGUUUCAUCGCAAAGCUCUCCACAUUCCGUGCUUGUCUCAUUUUGUGUGCUCUUGUGAACUCUUUGAAGACAUCAAUUUACAAGACGAAUAUGCUUACUGCAAACCGGACCAGAUCAUGUAUGGCAUACGACCGUGUGAUAUUAAGCUUUUUUACUCUAACCUCAUAAUAUACCAUUCAACACCCUCUGAUAAUAAUCAUACUGCCGUGUCCGCCAUG